GAUGAACGCUAGCGGGAGGCCUAACACAUGCAAGCCGAGCGGUAUUGUUUCUUCGGAAAUGAGAGAGCGGCGUACGGGUGCGUAACACGUGUGCAACCUGCCUUUAUCUGGGGGAUAGCCUUUCGAAAGGAAGAUUAAUACUCCAUAAUAUAUUGAACGGCAUCGUUUAAUAUUGAAAGCUCCGGCGGAUAGAGAUGGGCACGCGCAAGAUUAGCUAGUUGGUGAGGGAACGGCUCACCAAGGCGAUGAUCUUUAGGGGGCCUGAGAGGGUGAUCCCCCACACUGGUACUGAGACACGGACCAGACUCCUACGGGAGGCAGCAGUGAGGAAUAUUGGUCAAUGGGUGCAAGCCUGAACCAGCCAUCCCGCGUGAAGGACGACUGCCCUAUGGGUUGUAAACUUCUUUUGUAUAGGGAUAAACCUACCCUCGAGAGGGUAGCUGAAGGUACUAUACGAAUAAGCACCGGCUAACUCCGUGCCAGCAGCCGCCGUAAUAC
rnacentral:rRNA from 1 species